UAGGUCUUCCAAGUCCGAGACGGUAGUCAGGCGGCAGUCAGAUGGUGGGGAUGAAAGCCAUGGCUCACGCCGUUCGCGCUCGGCGUUCCGGCUAGUCUCGAUUAAUCGACUCGCUCAGCGAGUCUCGCUGUCGAUAGGCGGGUAACCGCAUUUUACUACAUUAAAAUAUUUCAUAUGAGAAAUAACGACUAACACCGGUGCGCGAGAGUCCGUCGAACUAAGCCGUAAUCGUAGUCUUAAUCCGAUCCGAUCUUUUGUACGUAAUAGUUAAUAAAGUCGUACCGUUAUUUAUCAAACACAGUGUCGAGUCAGUGCAAAUCAACCCGCCUCCCUAAACCAAAUCCCAGCAGUCACUUAGCGCUCCGAGCGGCGCCAUAGAGCACGUGGCCGGGAGAUCGGGAAAGACGGAGCUAGGUUAAAAGUCGGAGUCACACCAUUCCACAAAAGAGUUGUCAUGAGAGACAGAUUGGCCGCGGAGAGAGCAUGCAAAAAUUCCAAUCCUAUUAUCGAUGGUCGUAAAGCAAAAGUAAAUUUGGUCAUUCUCGGAGCUAAGCCCAGAGAUAACUUGAAAACGUGUCUCUGUAAACUUGUUUGUCGCACACAAUACGCGAUGGGUAUUUUGGAUAAAAAUUUGGACGCAUUAUUUUUCUGCCACAUAUAUCUCCAAGUCUGAAGAGGCAUUUAAUCAAAGUAAUUUUUUCCAAUAUUAAUUGCGAUAGAUAAAAAAUAUUGUAUAAUAUUUAAAAUGAUAAUGGUUUGAUUUCAAAGUUUUAUCUAAUCAGGGACUCUGACCGAACUGAAACCGAUAAUCGUAUCCUAACCGAUUUUUUUAAUGACCGAAACCGAAACCAAAAUAUUGUUUAGGCUAAUUGAGCGAAAAUAUUUUUCCGGUUUUUUUGGUCAGAUUUUUGGUUACAUUUUUUAAAAUGCUGUUAAAGAUCAUACUGAAGAUCAAGUAAAAAAAAAGGAGGAAAAGCACAUGCAGUGUAGACUUUUCUUUUUACGAGAUAAGAUUAAGAGAAAAAGAUACACUGCAUCUAUAUUUCAUCCUUUUUUUAAAUAUUUUUAACGCUCUAUAGAUAUGCAGUUGAUUUUAAAAAUUAAUUUUUUCUUUAAUUUGUGAACAUAAAUAGGAUAGAAUAAGAUCUUUGUAAUGUUAAAACUAAAUUUUUAAAGCUGAAAUUAUAUUUCAAUUUUUCCGGCACUUUUAGAGUACCAAAAAAGUUUGACAAUUUUAAUUGAACUUUUAAGACCGUAGAUAUUUACUUAUAGGUUUUUGAUAAUUAGAGAUAUUACAUAGUGUCUACGGAGGGUUAUUUUUUUAUUUCUUUGCUUUUAUUAUGAUAAUUUGAAUAAGAUUAAUAUGUUAUUUUAUAGAGAAACAUUAAACCAGAAAAACAACAAGUAAUGCUGCGAGUUGCUAAGAAUGAAGUAAAACAAAAAAAAAAAGAUUUUGAAAGACCCGGAACCUCUAUUGAUUUUUAAACAUUUUUAUAUUAAAAAAAUGUUCUAAUAAACAAGAAUUUUUUAUAAUAUGAUA